AUUGAACGCUGGCGGCAGGCUUAACACAUGCAAGUCGAGCGGAGAUGAGGUGCUUGCACCUUAUCUUAGCGGCGGACGGGUGAGUAAUGCUUAGGAAUCUGCCUAUUAGUGGGGGACAACAUUCCGAAAGGAAUGCUAAUACCGCAUACGUCCUACGGGAGAAAGCAGGGGAUCUUCGGACCUUGCGCUAAUAGAUGAGCCUAAGUCGGAUUAGCUAGUUGGUGGGGUAAAGGCCUACCAAGGCGACGAUCUGUAGCGGGUCUGAGAGGAUGAGCCGCCACACUGGGACUGAGACACGGCCCAGACUCCUACGGGAGGCAGCAGUGGGGAAUAUUGGACAAUGGGGGGAACCCGGAUCCAGCCAUGCCGCGUGUGUGAAGAAGGCCUUAUGGUUGUAAAGCACUUUAAGCGAGGAGGAGGCUACUGAGACUAAUACUCUUGGAUAGUGGACGUUACUCGCAGAAUAAGCACCGGCUAACUCUGUGCCAGCCGCCGCCGUAA
rnacentral:rRNA from 1 species